rnacentral:rRNA from 1 species
CCUACGGGUGGCUGCAGUGGGGAAUAUUGGACAAUGGGCGAAAGCCUGAUCCAGCCAUGCCGCGUGUGUGAAGAAGGCCUUCGGGUUGUAAAGCACUUUCAGUGGGGAAGAAAGCCUUGGGGCUAAUACCCUCGAGGAAGGACAUCACCCACAGAAGAAGCACCGGCUAACUCCGUGCCAGCAGCCGCGGUAAUACGGAGGGUGCGAGCGUUAAUCGGAAUUACUGGGCGUAAAGCGCGCGUAGGCGGUCUGAUAAGCCGGUUGUGAAAGCCCCGGGCUCAACCUGGGAACGGCAUCCGGAACUGUCAGGCUAGAGUGCCGGAGAGGAAGGUAGAAUUCCCGGUGUAGCGGUGAAAUGCGUAGAGAUCGGGAGGAAUACCAGUGGCGAAGGCGGCCUUCUGGACUGACACUGACGCUGAGGUGCGAAAGCGUGGGUAGCAAACAGGAUUAGAUACCCCGGUAGUC